UGAGGAACAUGACCUUCGGCGGGGGAUAGCCGGCCCAACGGCCGGGUAAUACCGCGUACGACCACAUGGGGACAUCCCUGAGUGGUGAAAGCAGCAAUGCGCCGAUGGAGUGCCUCGCGGCCUAUCAGCUAGUUGGUGAGGUAACGGCUCACCAAGGCGACGACGGGUGCUGGUCUGAGAGGAUGGCCAGCCACAUUGGGACUGAGACACGGCCCAGACCUCUAACCGGGGAGG
rnacentral:rRNA from 1 species